CUGUUGUCUACACUAGCGUAUAAUUCUCGUCCUCGUCCAAGUCUUGACGAAUUUUGGGCGCUUAAUUGAAUCAGUUUUCAAGGAAUGCAAAGAGGGAAAAGACCAAGGUUACUUUGUGUUGAUGGAUUUCAGUAACCAUAGAGCAAGCAGCUAUCCCCCAGCAUAUGUGGUCAUAGGAACUGCCUAACCAGAGGCUUGGAUUUGUUUUUUGAAGAUCCAAGUUUUGAAAUAAACAAGAGUGCCUAUGAUACCCAGAAUUAGGCGAGCAAUUUCUGGCAUGAAACAAAUAUCCAUAAAAAUUGGCUUAAAGUUAAUUUUUUUUUCUUACUUUUUAAAUUAUCUUAUACUUUUUUUAAAUUUCUUCUUAACAAGGUCUGGAAGGUGACUACAGUUGUAGAAUGAACAACUAGUAAGUGAGCGGGAACCUCAGACAGAAGCACUUUCUGGAAAUCCUGACGAAGCCCCACCGAGGAGCCGAAUGAAGGAUGGCGACGCCAGAUGACAAUGCAAUCUAGCUAAUGAAAGCAUCGCCAUGACAUCUGCCAUAUCGUCUUCGCCUAUUUCUUCAUAUGGGGCUUCUUGAUCAAGUUAUACAUCGUCAUCUGACAUCGCCUUGGUAUCUGUAUUGUAAUUUUCCUUGCUCAUAAUAACAGCCCAUCUAGCGCAACUUCUACUUACACAAGACUGGUACUCUUACCGUGUAUUGGUAGUUUUCGUAGAAGAGGGAGAUACUAGAUUUUUACUUGAGCAUUGCUUGAAAGGAUUUUAGGUCAUUCACUGUUACACCCGGACCGAAGUGUGUGGGAACGCAUCGCCUCAGUGAGUUUAAUCACUGCAGAUUGACUUGUCGAAGUGCGUAAGCAGCAAAAACGAAGCUCUGGAGGAAUUGUAUCUUAAACAAAAGAUGUCAGGGGUAGCUAGCCGAUUUGUGAAACGAAUCUGUUUUUGACCGAAAAUGCGGCGGAUCUGUCUCGGUUUACCAAUCAAGACUGCAUUAAGUUAGAACGGAGCUGGUCUCCAUAAGGAAAUUAGCGCAAGAGAUUUGGGAACAAACGUUACUCUACAGUUAUGCUGCAACGUUUAAAACGCUUUUCAUCCACUUCACUGGGAAUGCCGCGCAAGAUAGGAAGGCAUUCGUGACAAGAAUUUUCCGGUCUCGCCAUGUGGGGCAUGAGACAAGUUCAGUCCACCUUCUUGCGGCGAGUAUAUUGUUUUCGCUAUCAUGGCGUCGGGAAUGGUAAAAUUAUUCGUCCAUAGAUGGCGUAGGCUGGUAACAUAUUUCUUCCGUAGAUGGCUAUGGUAACGAUUCCUUCAGUAGAUGGCGUUAAAAUGAUAAGCUUAUUCGCACUCACUAGAUGGCAGCUGGAAUGAUGGUGCUACAUUCGAGGUUAUUGUACCUUUUUAAUUUAAAGAUGCUGUUACAGUAUUCGAUAAUGUACGUUUGAAGUACAAAUAAUUUGUACAAAUUCGUGAGCAUCACAAUGAAUCAUGGGAAGCUCUGAUGAUGGAUUUCUUGGUCUAAAACUCUUCAGGAACUGGAUACAUCUGCAACGAUCUAUCUUCACAACGAUCAAUCUUUACAAGAGGUGCUAAGUUAAGUUUGAGGGCACAGGAAUAGUUCUGACUGCUGUGUCUCAAAGUGCUAGGUAUGCAACGAUAGGAGCCCCUUGGAGGAUUGUUGUUUAAAACUUGAAGGUUGCUUGUGUAAAGCUGUGUUGCUAAUGUAACAUUACUUAUACUUGCUAAUCCAUCCAGCAGUCAUUUAGAAGCAUAAUCAAAUCAGGAGUUAAAGAAGUUCCAGAGACUGAACCAGCCAAUGACGAAGAUUUAGUUGUUUGGUAACUGUUGUUGGAAGGCCAUUAGAUUACGGAGGAACAGCCGUUAAAAGAGGUAUUUGAGAUUGGGCUGAAUCACGUUUCUGUUAUUCCGUGGCUGAUAGAUGGGCUGCUACUGAUUGACUUUUUUUGCUUAAUUAA